UACGUAGGGGGCGAGCGUUAUCCGGAUUCAUUGGGCGUAAAGCGCGCGUAGGCGGCCUGCUAGGUCGGGACUCAAAUCCGGGGGCUCAACCCCCGCCCGGUCCCGAUACCGACAGGCUUGAGUCUGGUAGGGGAAGGCGGAAUUCCAAGUGUAGCGGUGGAAUGCGCAGAUAUUUGGAAGAACACCGGUGGCGAAGGCGGCCUUCUGGGCCACGACUGACGCUGAGGCGCGAAAGCUAGGGGAGCGAACAGG
rnacentral:rRNA from 1 species